rnacentral:rRNA from 1 species
UACGUAGGGUGCGAGCGUUAAUCGGAAUUACUGGGCGUAAAGCGUGCGCAGGCGGUUAUGCAAGACAGAUGUGAAAUCCCCGGGCUCAACCUGGGAACUGCAUUUGUGACUGCAUGGCUGGAGUGCGGCAGAGGGGGAUGGAAUUCCGCGUGUAGCAGUGAAAUGCGUAGAUAUGCGGAGGAACACCGAUGGCGAAGGCAAUCCCCUGGGCCUGCACUGACGCUCAUGCACGAAAGCGUGGGGGAGCAAACGGG